UUGCCCUUUCCAUUCUCUUUCUUCUGUUUAAAUUUUUCUAAUUUCCAGCUUAGGAAUUCGAUCACCUGUUCUGAGCUUGUUCCACGAUUCUACUCUAUUUGUGAUUUUUUUUGUGUGUAGAUAAAUGCAUUGCUUUCAAUCAUUCAUCUUAGUAUUUUUCGUUCUUAUACAAUGUGCGAAACACUUGGAUUUCAAUUUUAUAUAUAUAGCUUGAUGAGGCUUUCUGAAACUUUUUCAGUUUCACCAUUGUAACACUGGUUUAAUCUAUUUCCUCUCAUAUUGUAUGCAUGUUUGUUUAUUCUGUUUGGUUAAUUAUUUUUGGAACCCUAGAAUUGCACAUUCUUCAUUAAUCAGUGUUCUAGCAAUACAGUGAAAUUCAUUGAACUCUUAUAAAUAUAGAAUUGAAUUGAACUUCUAGAUUGUGGCUUCUCUUAAUCACUUAUUGCAGCAAAUAGAUUUAUCUAUGCAGAAAUUGUAUUAUUAGGAUUAUUUAUUGCAGUAUUAUUCUCUCUUCUGUGAUUUGGAAGUUGUAGAAGUAGUUAGGUGAUAUGUUAAGAUAGAAUAUUGGAAGGUUCCUUUUUUUUCUCCUUCUGUUUUAUGACCUUCUUUUCAGCUUAAAUAUUAAUAGAAAAUAAAAUUAACUUUGUUUAUGACCUACUUGGCUGAGGAGUGAGGAGCAGAUACUCCGGGAUGAUAUCAAGUUUGGUGGAAAAGCCCAAACAGCUUUUCAUGAAAGAUAUCAGGAUGCUGCCCAAGUAUAAUGUCACUACCACGUUAAGGUCUCAGGACAAACCUCUGGCUGCAUGGUUAUUUACACAGGUUGUAGAGGUAGUGCAAGCUGUAAGAUGACCAAUGCUAGGGGGAAGUUAAAUACCCAAUCAAGAGUUGCUGCGACUGAAACUUGCUCUGUCCUUUCUUCACGUUGAGUUGCUGCGAUUGAAAUUACUCCUCAAGCUAGCUGCGCCCUUCAUCAUCGGGAAGCGUGUUGGUAGAACCUUUUUCUGACAAGGCUCCUUCUUCCAAUUUCUUCAUUUUAAGGGAUCUCCUGGAAUUUCAAUAUCAAUUAUCAUUAUUUACAUCAAUGCUCUUGACACCUUCAACACUGCAGUAGUUUCUCCUAUAUACUAUGUCAUGUUCACAACACUUACAAUCCUAGCUAGUGUGAUAAUGUUCAAGUUGAGAAAUGAAGUUAAUAAACUGGAGGAAAGGCUUGGAGUUACUGAUGAUCAUCUCAAACAAAAGAAUCUGAAAAUCAAGAAACUGACAGAUGAAAAGAAAUGUGCAUUGGCUACACAAUAUGCGACAGAAGCAGCUCUUAGAAGGGUACAUGCAAAUCAAAAGGAUGAUGAUAUUCUCCCAAAUGACAGCAUCAUUACUCCAUUUGAAGCUGAGAAAAUAUACAAGAAUGAGUUACAAAUAAUGUAACUCCCAGCAAGGAUGCAUUUGUCAAAUAAUUAAUUAAUUUAAUGUAACUUCUUCUUCCUCUUUAUAUGAUGCUAUAAGAACAAUAUACUGAGUAUAUGUUUUGAAUUAUAGUUGAUGUAUCAACACAUUUUGUUGAUGUAUAGUUAUUUAUUAUUAUAGUUGAUGUAUCAAUACAUUUUGUUUAUUUUUUGAAUUAUAUUGGCUUCCUUGAUUA